GUAGUCCACGCCGUAAACGAUGGGCACUAGGUGUUGGGGGUGUCGACUCCCCCGGCGCCGUAGCUAACGCAUUAAGUGCCCCGCCUGGGGAGUACGGCCGCAAGGCUAAAACUCAAAGGAAUUGACGGGGCCCGCACAAGCAGCGGAGCAUGUGGUUUAAUUCGACGCAACGCGAAGAACCUUACCUGGGCUUGACAUGUUCGUGACAGGUGUGGAAACACACUCUCCCUUCGGGGGCACGAUCACAGGUGGUGCAUGGCUGUCGUCAGCUCGUGUCGUGAGAUGUUGGGUUAAG
rnacentral:rRNA from 1 species